AUUGAACGCUAGCGGGAUGCUUUACACAUGCAAGUCGAACGGCAGCGCGGACUUCUGUCUGGCGGCGAGUGGCGAACGGGUGAGUAAUUUAUCGGAACGUGCCCAGUAGCUGGGGAUAACUACGCGAAAGCGUAGCUAAUACCGCAUACGCCCUACGGUGGAAAGCAGGGGAUCGUAAGACCUUGCACUAUUUGAGCGGCCGAUAUCGGAUUAGCUAGUUGGUGAGGUAACGGCUCACCAAGGCGACGAUCCGUAGCUGGUUUGAGAGGACGACCAGCCACACUGGGACUGAGACACGGCCCAGACUCCUACGGGAGGCAGCAGUGGGGAAUUUUGGACAAUGGGGGCAACCCUGAUCCAGCCAUCCCGCGUGUGCGAUGAAGGCCUUCGGGUUGUAAAGCACUUUUGGCAGGAAAGAAAAGUCGCGGGCUAAUACCCCGUGGAACUGACGGUACCUGCAGAAUAAGCACCGGCUAACUACGUG
rnacentral:rRNA from 1 species